rnacentral:rRNA from 1 species
GACGAACGCUGGCGGCGUGCUUAACACAUGCAAGUCGAACGGAAAGGCCUGCUUUCCCUUGUGGAUUGCGGGUACUCGAGUGGCGAACGGGUGAGUAACACGUGAGUGAUCUGCCCCCAACUUGGGUAUAAGCCUGGGAAACUGGGUCUAAUUCCCGAUAGGACUGCAGGGUGGUGCCUGUGGUGGAAAACGAUUUUCUAGUGGUUGGGGAUGAGCUCGCGGCCUAUCAGCUUGUUGGUGGGGUAAUGGCCUACCAAGGCGGCGACGGGUAGCCGGCCUGAGAGGGUGGACGGCCACAUUGGGACUGAGAUAUGGCCCAGACUCCUACGGGAGGCAGCAGUGGGGAAUAUUGCACAAUGGGCGGAAGCCUGAUGCAGCGACGCCGCGUGGGGGAUGACGGCCUUCGGGUUGUAAACUCCUUUCGACCGCGAGGAAGCCACCUGGUUGGAAGGGUGGUGACGGUAGUGGUAGAAGAAGCACCGGCUAACUACGUG